AAUUUUUAAAUUGAAUUUAGAGUUUAAAAAUAAACACGAAAAUUCAAAAAAGUACUGCAAAAUUAUUGCUUUCUACCAAGGUUUUUGGAUUACUCAAAGGGCAGUUUGGUUUCGCCGAGACACUGUUCUUCUCUGGUGUUGGUGUUGUUGGGUUGAUGGGUUCAGCUGUGCCAUAUCACCACGGCUGCUUCUCCCCGCCACCAGCUCCGCCUUCAAGAAACUCUGUCAUCUAUGUAAUGUGUCUAGAUUAAAGCAUGUAUGGUCUGAAACAACCUCCAAACUCAUGAGAACUGGCAAUUUUCGAUUUGCAAAUGAUGCUGUCUGCCCUUCGUGUUCAUCUUACUUAUUCUUCAAUGCGGAAGAACAAAGAAAAGAGUUUGGAAUUGCGGGUAAUAGUGGAUCAUCCAAGAUAUAUACUUACAGGAGAAAUUCAUUUAACACAAGGAAAUUGCCCAACACCCUUAUAGAUGUCAAUGUGUUGUUGGUUCCGUUGCUGUGUUUGUAACGAGAUAUAGAGGUAUGAUCAGAGAUGCCAAACAAGAUCUGCAACACAGCACAAGUUAUUUCCACAAACCCAGUUAUUAGGCUAAUGUCAAGAGGCGUCGAUAAUUGUGGUUAUAUAGGAGCAGCAGUUUACUGGUCUGUAUGACCUCCAUGGAAGUAUGAAUCUAUGGUCAGCAAUGGCCAAAGAAUAUUCUCAGACUGAAAACCAUUUUUUACCUUACUGACAGAAAGCUGAAACCUCGAUGAACCAGUGUAAGUAUUGACAAUUGCGACACAGGCUCUGAUUUAAAUUGGUUGCAGCUAUCCUAUAUGCAAAGUAUAGCAAGGGGUUUGCAAGGUAGAAGUGAAUUCUAAUCGAACCAGUAAUUUACCAGAAAAUAAUCGAAGGGAUGAUGGUGAUUUCCCUAGCUAUAUUCUGAUAUAUCACUGACCGUUCAGAGUUCACCACCAUUUCUGUAUUGCAUUUUAGCAAAACAAUGUGGUUUCUUAUAUCUGUAGUGUAGUGAAGUUUGAAGUGAAGAUGGCCCUUUUUUUAUAUUGAA